rnacentral:rRNA from 1 species
UAAGCGGAGGAAAAGAAACUAACAAGGAUUCCCCUAGUAGCGGCGAGUGAAGCGGGAAGAGCUCAAAUUUGUAAUCUGGCGUCUUUCAGGCGUCCGAGUUGUAAUCUAUAGAAGUGUUUUCCGUGCUGGACCAUGUCCAAGUCCCUUGGAACAGGGUAUCAAAGAGGGUGACAAUCCCGUACUUGACAUGACCACCAGUGCUCUGUGAUACACUUUCUACGAGUCGAGUUGUUUGGGAAUGCAGCUCAAAAUGGGUGGUAAAUUCCAUCUAAAGCUAAAUAUUGGCGAGAGACCGAUAGCGAACAAGUACCGUGAGGGAAAGAUGAAAAGCACUUUGGAAAGAGAGUUAAACAGUACGUGAAAUUGUUGAAAGGGAAACGAUUGAAGUCAGUCGUGUUCAUUGGACUCAGCCGGUUUUCGGUGUAUUUCCUUUGAACGGGUCAACAUCAGUUUUGUCCGGUGGAUAAAGGCAGGAAGAAAGUGGCUCCCUCGGGAGUGUUAUAGCUUUCUGUCACAUACACUGGAGGAGACUGAGGACUGCAGCUCGCCUUUUGGCCGGGGUUCGCCCACGUUCGAGCUUAGGAUGUUGACAUAAUGGCUUUAAACGACCCGUCUUGAAACACGG